AGGUGAUGUCUUCCUUACCUUUAUCAAUGGAGGCACUCGGCUCUACUGUGGGCAGGCGUUAAUCGGCUGCCUUAGAUGCAAGUCGUCGAUGGCGGGGCGUGAGGACGGGUUAAAUGCCCA
rfam:Bacillus glycinifermentans strain GO-13 contig_7, whole genome shotgun sequence.